rnacentral:rRNA from 1 species
GGUUCUGAGAGGAAGGUCCCCCACAUUGGAACUGAGACACGGUCCAAACUCCUACGGGAGGCAGCUAUUAGGAAUAUUGGUCAACGGGGGAGAGCCUGAACCAGCCAAGUAGCGUGAAGGAUGACUGCCCUAUGGGUUGUAAACUUCUUUUAUGAAGGAAUAAAGUCGGGUAUGGAUACCCGUUUGCAUGUACUUUAUGAA